AACGCAACUUGCGCUCUUUGGUAUUCCGAAGAGCAUGCCUGUUUGAGUGUCAUGAAAUCUCAACCAUUAGGGUUUCUUAAUGGCUUGGAUUUGGGUGUUGCCAGCUUGUCUGGCUCGCCUUAAAAGAGUUAGCAAACAUAACAUUGUUGUCUGGUGUAAUAAGUUUCACUGGUAAGACGUGUGACUGUAAGCUUCUAAUCGCCCUUGGGCAAUUUUUUGACUCUGGCCUCAAAUCAGGUAGGACUACCCGCUGAACUUAA
rnacentral:misc_RNA from 1 species